GAUGAAGAACGUAGCGAAAUGCGAUACUUGGUGUGGAUUGCAGAAUCCCGUGAACCAUCGAGUCUUUGAACGCAAGUUGCGCCCGAAGCCAUUAGGCCGAGGGCACGCCUGCCUGGGCGUCACACGUCGUUGCCCCCCCAUCUACUCCUUCGGGAUUGCGGGGGGCGGAUGAUGGCCUCCCGUGCGCCUCGUCGCGCGGUUGGCAUAAAUGCCAAGUCCUCGGCGACGCACGCCACGACAAUCGGUGGUUGCGAAACCUCGGUUGCCCGUCGUGUGCGGUCGUCGCGCAUCGAGGGCUCGAAAAAAUUGCCGGGCUCCGGCUCGGCUUUCAACGCGACCCCAGGUCAGGCGGGGUUACCCGCUGAAUUUAAGCAUAUCAAUAAGCGGAGGA
rnacentral:misc_RNA from 1 species